UCUGUGUGUUUAUUUUAUAAGUGGGCUGUCAGACUGCCGGGGCUUGGCGGAAUCUGGAGAGAAAAUUCUCCAGCUACACCCAGGAGACCUCUCUUCAGUCUCAGGGAAGUGCCUCAUCAGAGCCUGUUCUGUGUCUCCAAAGAGCAAACAGGAUACAGUCUCACUACAAACAGGAUACAGCCUCACUAAAAUAGGAUACAGCCUCACUACAAACAGGAUACAGCCUCACUACAAACAGGAUACAGCCUCACUACAAACAGGAUACAGCCUCACUACAAACAGGAUUCAUCCUCACUACAAACAGGAUACAGCCUCACUAAAAUAGGAUACAGCCUCACUAAAAUAGGAUACAGUCUCACUAAAAUAGGAUACAGCCUCACUAAAAUAGGAUACAGUUUCACUACAAUAGGAUACAGUUUCACUAAAAUAGGAUACAGCCUCACUAAAACAAGAUACAGUCUCACUAAAACAGGAUACAGCCUCACUAAAACAGGACACAGCCUCACUAAAACAGGACACAGCCUCACUAAAAUAGGAUACAACCUCACUAAAACAGGAUACAGUCUCACUAAAACAGGACACAGCCUCAUUAAAAUAGGACACAGCCUCACUAAAAUAGGACACAGCCUCACUAAAAUAGGAUACAGCCUCACUAAAAUAGGAUACAGCCUCACUAAAAUAGGACACAGCCUCACUAAAACAGGACACAGCCUCAUUAAAAUAGGACACAGCCUCACUAAAAUAGGACACAGCCUCACUAAAACAGGACACAGCCUCAUUAAAAUAGGACACAGUCUCACUAAAACAGGACACAGCCUCACUAAAACAGGAUACAGCCUCACUAAAAUAGGACACAGUCUCACUAAAAUAGGACACAGCCUCACAACUAACAGAAUGCAGCUCCACUACUAACAGGAUACAGCUGCCCUACAAACAGGCUACAGCCUCACUACAAAGAGGAUCCAGAUGCUUUGCUUUUUAUCUUGUUUUAUAUUUUGAAGGGCCAUGUGAAAGGUGGAUUACAAAGAGGACACAAACGGACUCUACUGGUAACCAUCAACAAACCUGAGUCCCUGUUUUGAUGAAGAAAGGGGGAGCCCACAGAACUUAGAAGGAUGUUCCCAGUCUCCCCUUUCCCAUCAGCAACUUUCAGCCUUACCUCCCAUGAGGAAGAGAAGCCCUGCCACAUACUGCAUAAGGCCUCGGUCCCAGCAGCAGCCCAGCACACCGAUGAUCCAGCCGAAGAGGAUGAUGGCCACCGCCAUACCCAUGAAGCCAGCUGUCAUUCUGCGCAGGUGCUGUCUUUAGUCCUGGAUGGAGAACGAAGCUGCUUGCUAACAGGAACACCGGAGCACCUCACCCCAUUAUACUGGUCAUUCCUUCGUGAGUCUGCCUGCCGUCUCUCAUGCCUCCCUGCAUUUAAGCCAGUGACACCAGCCCCAACCAGCUAACAGGGCACUAAGCAAGAGCAACGCCAUUCUGUUUGGCCUCUGCCCCAAGUUCUGACCCCUCU